UAAGUGCAGCUCCUUCGACAAACUGGUCUGAAAAUAUCAUUUAACCAAACUUGUGUUAGGGUAUUUCAUAAAGUCUGCAUGCACACACACCCACAUAUACAGGCACACAUACGUGGCAAAGAGCAAGAGCAACAACAAAAGACGUGGUAGAAGAACUCAACACUGACCAAAUGCCCUGUUAGCUAGUUGGUUUUUGGGGAGCUUGGGAAGUAUGUGGUCCGCAUACGCAAUGGAGAAAAAAAGGCAUGCAAAUGAACUGGGAAAACCUAAUAAAGUGCCUGUCAUGCAAUGUGCUCGCAAUUGAUAUCACUCAUACGACGCCUAGUCGCCAUUGCCAUCGGCAUCGUCAUCGCCAUCGCUGUGUCGCAGUGAAAGUAUCAUAAUUUGUUAUGGCAUGUUUUUCUAUAUACAAUUUCGUUUCAUAGGCCAGCAAUUCAAUUCAUUUCAAUUGAAGUCAAUCAAUUUAUCAAGCGUACGACGAAAAGCCAAACAACGAACUUCAGUCUCGAACGAACUCGACUCGCCUCGUGAGUGAUGAAUUAUAACAAUUUAUUGUGCGCCAAACAAUUUA